GUGUCAGCAGCCGCGGUAAUACGGAGGGUGCAAGCGUUAAUCGGAAUUACUGGGCGUAAAGCGUGUGUAGGCGGUCUAUUAAGUCGGAUGUGAAAGCCCCGGGCUUAACCUGGGAAUUGCAUUCGAAACUGGUAGGCUUGAAUUUGGUAGAGGGAAGUGGAAUUCCGGGUGUAGCGGUGAAAUGCGUAGAUAUCCGGAGGAACACCAGUGGCGAAGGCGGCUUCCUGGACCAAAAUUGACGCUGAGGCACGAAAGCGUGGGUAGCAAACAGGAUUAGAUACCCUGGUAGUCCACGCCGUAAACGAUGGGUGCUAGAUGUUGGGGGCCUUUGGCUUCCGGUGUCGCAGCUAACGCGUUAAGCACCCCGCCUGGGGAGUACGGCCGCAAGGUUAAAACUCAAAUGAAUUGACGGGG
rnacentral:rRNA from 1 species